CAAGGCAUAGUGUGCGUGGAAAAACAAAUGUGCCCCCACAGGAGUAUGGGCACUACGAAGUCGCACAAAUUCUAUAUUCAUAUAGACCUGUUUCUGCGGGCCAGGUGGCGUGAGUGAGCAGCAACGUCAGCACCCCAAAAUGUAUGCAACCCGCAGUAGUUAAGCAGACGGCGGCUCACUUUCAAAUACAUGCUCUCGACUUGUUCGCACUGGGACAAAAUGCACGGCUUUUUUCCUAGGAUUUCUUACUGGUUUCGUAGCUCUCCUUGGUGCCACACCGUUUGAAACACCAUGCAGAACCCCCUGAUCAUUCUGCCUCGGUCCCUCCGACCUGCUCAAUGUCCCUGCAUGGACAGUCCAAGCAUGUUCAUGUCCAUUGACUGUUCAACCAUAGAGAAAAGGGACGCUGCAUUUUCGAAAGCUACCGGAAACGGAGGAGGGCUGUUCUGGAGACAACCAGGGCGCUCAUCGGUUGUCAACGUGCAUGGCUUCCGUAAUUCACAAACAAACACUCGAUGUUGUUCAAUGUUGAUGCUGCUCAGUUGAUUACUACACAAUCCGCAAUUUCGCUCGAUUGACUAAGAUGGCAAAUGCCACCAUCACUUCCGCAAGAUAUACGUCGCAGUGCUCCAUGUCUAUUGUACUAUAUCGACACGUUACAGCGUUACGUUUGUCCAACAGACGUUCAUGCGUAACCGCUGUGAAUAGAACAGAAGAAUAUGCAACCAUUUCGAGGGCAGCCCCUCGUCAGCGUGUAAGGCGCGGUCAGAUUCUGAGAUUCAGACGAAAAUUCGACCCUGGGCAACGUUCCUAGCAACAUUCCGCCAUACCGGCAGGCAGACCGCACGGCAAUAACACCCCACCACCCAGCCAACGAACUGCACUGUGAGUGUACACCAGUUUCCAACCAACUGGACUGUUUGCUGCAGUGAGUGCAGUGCAGGGUGAAGUACAGUGCAAGUAAGGGGGUGUCGUGGGAAGUUGUGCCGCACUUCGUGCCACUGGUGGUGGUCUUUGUGUCAUGGAAAAAUGGUCUCACGUUCUCCAAUCAUUGUUGUAGAAAGUGACCCCACUCACGCUGUGUCCAGUUGUGUCUAGA